ensembl:snRNA U6 U6 spliceosomal RNA
GCGCUGGCUUUGGCAGCACAUGUACUAAAAAUGGAAUGAUCCAGAGAAGAUUAGCAUGGCCCCUAUGCAAGGUUAACAUGCAGAGUCGUGAAACGUUCCAUAUUUUU